UCCCGGAUAGCUCAAUUGGUUAGAGCAGCGGUGCGCAUGGUUAAGAUAGCAGGAUACGGGUUCGAUCCCCGUUUCGGGAACAA
rnacentral:tRNA from 1 species